rnacentral:rRNA from 1 species
UACGGAGGGUGCGAGCGUUGUCCGGAAUCACUGGGCGUAAAGAGCUCGUAGGCGGUCCGUCGCGUCGAUUGUGAAAACCCGGGGCUCAACUCCGGGCUUGCACUCGAUACGGGCGGACUAGAGUUCGGUAGGGGAGACUGGAAUUCCUGGUGUAGCGGUGAAAUGCGCAGAUAUCAGGAGGAACACCGGUGGCGAAGGCGGGUCUCUGGGCCGAUACUGACGCUGAGGAGCGAAAGCGUGGGGAGCGAACAGG